rnacentral:rRNA from 1 species
UACAGAGGGUGCAAGCGUUGUUCGGAAUUAUUGGGCGUAAAGGGCGCGUAGGCGGUGCGGUAAGUCACCUGUGAAACCUCUGGGCUUAACUCAGAGCCUGCAGGCGAAACUGCCGUGCUUGAGUGUGGGAGAGGUGCGUGGAAUUCCCGGUGUAGCGGUGAAAUGCGUAGAUAUCGGGAGGGACACCUGUGGCGAAAGCGGCGCACUGGACCACAACUGACGCUGAGGCGCGAAAGCUAGGGGAGCAAACAGG